UACGUAGGGUGCAAGCGUUGUCCGGAAUUAUUGGGCGUAAAGAGCUCGUAGGCGGUUUGUCGCGUCUGCUGUGAAAACGCGAGGCUCAACCUCGCGCCUGCAGUGGGUACGGGCAGACUAGAGUGUGGUAGGGGAGAUUGGAAUUCCUGGUGUAGCGGUGGAAUGCGCAGAUAUCAGGAGGAACACCGGUGGCGAAGGCGGGUCUCUGGGCAACAACUGACGCUGAGGAGCGAAAGCGUGGGGAGCGAACAGG
rnacentral:rRNA from 1 species